rnacentral:rRNA from 1 species
UACGUAGGUGGCAAGCGUUGUCCGGAUUUACUGGGCGUAAAGAGCGCGCAGGCGGUCGUUCAAGUCGCGUGUGAAAGCCCCCGGCUCAACUGGGGAGGGUCACGCGAUACUGAUCGACUCGAAGGCAGGAGAGGGUAGUGGAAUUCCCGGUGUAGUGGUGAAAUGCGUAGAUAUCGGGAGGAACACCAGUGGCGAAGGCGACUACCUGGCCUGUUCUUGACGCUGAGACGCGAAGGCGUGGGGAGCGAACGGG